AAACUAUUCUCUCCGUUCCGAACUACUUGUCACAGGUAUGGAUGUAUCUAGAUGUAUUUUAAUUUUAGAUAUAUCCAUUUUUACGACGAGUAAUUUGGAAUGAAGGGAAUACAUA
rnacentral:pre_miRNA from 1 species